rnacentral:rRNA from 1 species
CACGUAGGGCGCAAGCGUUGUCCGGAAUUAUUGGGCGUAAAGAGCUCGUAGGCGGUCUGUUGCGUCCGCUGUGAAAACUCGGGGCUUAACCCCGAGCCUGCAGUGGAUACGGGCAGACUAGAGGUAGGUAGGGGAGAAUGGAAUUCCCGGUGUAGCGGUGAAAUGCGCAGAUAUCGGGAGGAACACCGGUGGCGAAGGCGGUUCUCUGGGCCUUACCUGACGCUGAGGAGCGAAAGCGUGGGGAGCGAACAGGAUUGAGAAACCCUUGG